UACGUAGGGGGCAAGCGUUGUCCGGAUUUAUUGGGCGUAAAGAGCUCGUAGGCGGCUUGUCGCGUCGACUGUGAAAUCCCGCGGCUCAACUGCGGGUCUGCAGUCGAUACGGGCAGGCUAGAGUUCGGUAGGGGAGACUGGAAUUCCUGGUGUAGCGGUGAAAUGCGCAGAUAUCAGGAGGAACACCGAUGGCGAAAGCAGGUACCUGGACCAUUACUGACGCUCAGCUGCGAAAGCUAGGGGAGCAAACAGG
rnacentral:rRNA from 1 species